rnacentral:lncRNA from 1 species
UAUACUACAUUUCAUUCAAAUGGAUGAUCGGCUAACUUGAUUAAUGUAAACCUGUUUCCUAAGCAGCUACAAUAUACUUUAAAGAAUAGUGGACAGAUAUGCCUUCCAACUUCCACAUCAAAAACAAUGAAUUGGAAGAAUGCAUGAUCAGCCUCCCAAUCUAGAGCUGUUUUCCGUUUUGCUUUGAAACUCAGUAGAUUCUGGAUGGAAUCACCCUUUACAAGAACAAGUACUCCCAGAUCUUAAAAAAGGGCACAAGGGCUCAGAUUUAUAACAUUUAGAUUCUAGUUCCCUCACCAUUAGUAGCUCCAUACACUUACUGUCGAAAUUGUGACUGGAA